rnacentral:tRNA from 1 species
GGGCCCGUCGUCCAGCGGUAGGACGCCACGCUUACAACGUGGAGGUCCUGGGUUCGAAUCCCAGCGGGCCCA